AUUGAACGCUGGCGGCAGGCCUAACACAUGCAAGUCGAACGAUUGGCGGACGGGUGAGUAAUGUCUGGGAAACUGCCCGAUGGGGGGGGAUAACUACUGGAACCGGUAGCUAAUACCGCAUACCCUCGGAUGUGCCCAGAUGGGAUUAGCUAGUAGGUGGGGUAACGGCUCACCUAGGCGACGAUCCCUAGCUGGUCUGCGAGGAUGACCAGCCACACGGGAACGGAGACACGGUCCAGACUCCUACGGUAGGCAGCAGUGGGGAAUAUUGCACAAGGGGCGCAAGCCUGAUGCAGCCAGGCCGCGUGUAUGAAGAAGGCCUUCGGGUUGUAAAGUACUUUCAGCGGGGAGGCGUUACUCGCAGAAGAAGCACCGGCUAACUCCGUGCCAGCAGCCGCGGUAAUAC
rnacentral:rRNA from 1 species